CGGAUCACGGGGAGCGCCUUCUCCUUACCGAGCUCAGGCCUCCGUGCCAUUACUCCCUCCACGACGCCAGCGCCCACCUCCACCGCCCAGCUAAAAAUCCACCGUCCCUCAGCACCCGUUUGUCCUUACAUGGCCGGGGCUAGACGUCGUAGCAGCCCUCUCUCCCGCUCGCGCAUUCCGAACUCCCGCUUCCAACUCCUCCCCAGAUCGCCGCUUCUCCACUAGAGCCGAGCCGAUCGAUGGAUCACGAGCAGCGGCGCCAGCGCAGUCGCAGGGGUAAUGCUCCCGGGAGCGGGGGCGGCGGCGCGUCGUCGGGGACGCACAGGGGUGGAGGAGGCAAGGGCGGGGGCAAGAAGCAGAUCAAGGUGGUGUACAUCUCCAACCCCAUGCGCGUCAAGACCAGCGCCGCGGGCUUCCGCGCCCUCGUGCAGGAGCUCACCGGCCGCGACGCCGACCCCUCCAAGUACAGCCCCGACGAGCUCGGCGGCGUGGGUGGCGCGGGCGCCGAGGACGCCACCGCGGCCGCCGACCUCGACUGCGGCGCCGCGCAUGGGCUCAUGCUCAGCCCCACGGGCGCGGCCGCGUCGUGCGACACCGUCGUCGCCAGCCCCAGCCCUGCCGCGGCGGACCACCAUCCCGACGCCGCCGCCGUGGCCGCGCCGUACGGCGGGGACUACGACGACGAGGAGGAGGACGAGGGCGGCUUCGGGUCGCAGCUUCUGGAGAACACCUACGCAGUGUUGUCGCCGCCGACGCUGCUCUACGACCACCACCCGCACAGCAAGGUGUGAUACCCCGAUCAAUCGACCCCCCCUCGCCGCUGCGUGACGCGUGCCCCCCUUCUUUGCAUGACAUGAACAUCGCUUUGUAUUGCAUGUGCUGGCGUGUUCGUGAACUGCUAGCUAGCUCCAAUCCGCCUCCCAAUUCACAAUCCACUGCAUACCGUAUGCCCAAGACAAACCAGCACGAGGGUGUGUGUAUGGUACUGUGCCGUAAUUUGUCUGCGCUUUUUCUUCCAGCUAGCACUGCAUAGUUUUGUCAAGAACAGCUUGAUGGGUCUGGGCGUUGUCAAUUCACUGUUUUGCAACUUGCAAGUGAUACGCGAUGUGUUCUACCAUCACUGUCGAUCGAGCGCCGAGUGUGAUUCUCCGUUCCUUUCCUGGAUUUCUUUUGUUUUGGAAAAUGUUCUCUGAUUUUAUGGUGGGGAUUGCAAGGGGAGGCUUGAGACAGAGGACGCCUUUUUAAUGUAGUGCUCACUUUGGCAUGGUCAGCUGGCAAGUGCCGGACCGGAUUAUCAAUACUACGCACCACCACUUGGAUAUGUAAGUGAGUAGACUAGAUGGUGUAGAACUGGCUUUGCUCUUUACACGUUGGUUCAGCAGUAAUGAUGCGCUACUUUACCCAGCCACUCCAGUGUGUAAAAGAAUCAGAAUUUUCACUAGUGAUCAGGCGAAGAGGAGCCAGCAAACUGAAACUACUGUAAAGAUCAGCCUCUUCUUUUUCCUCACUUGCACUGAUUUGGAAUCUGAAUUCUGUUAGGAACAAAGGAUAUUACCACAUUAUUAUUCUCUCUUUUAUCUUCCAUUCGUGAUGGCCUGCAAAUGAUUGGGGCCUAAGCUGCUACAAGAUAGCAUUGGUGCUGUAGUUAUCAUCAUCAGUAUGGGUCAGGCCCAAAGACGAUAUAGAAUUCAGCCCGAUACACGCGUUGUGAAAGACUAGGUGAUUUCAUUAGGACCAGUAGGUAGAGAUGAACACACUCUUCGGUUGCCUUCAUUUAUUCUUGGAUGAUCAAGAGCACUGCAAGGAAAUUUAGGUGCGGUAUUCUAUAGUUUUGGUCGAUCUUUAACAUCCUAGACAACUUGUGAUCCUGACACCACAACAUCCAUCUCAAGUUAUUAGCCCGAGUUUAUUAGUCUGUCAAUGCACUUUUUUUAUGUUUGGUUAAAUUCUUUUCUGUGCUUCUGCUACUAUUUGAUUGAUCUGAACAUGGGGUCGGGAUUGUUACUCUUGUUCUCUUAUUAUUGCACUUCCAUGUGUUUGAUAUUGCUUCAUGCAAUUGCCUUUUGUUUUUUAUUCUUUCCAUCUCUGUUGAUUUGUGCUAUACUUUUGUUUUUGUUGGUCCAACUUGAUUGAUACUGGAUCCGGAUUUUUAUGAUUUUUCACUUUCACUUGUUUGACAUUAUUGGUUGGUGCACCUUUGAUGGGAAUGUUGCAGAGUGAUGGAUACUUUAAGAUCACAAUGGUCCGAGUAAUUAGUAUUAUCUAGGACAUGGGCCUCUGCUAUCACAUACAUUGAUACGGGAUACACGGUGAUGAAACAAACUGAUAUACAGUACCCAGAUAUUAUACUAUAUACUUGGCCAGGUAGCUUCAAUCAUUGUGCCCAAACUAAGAGUACUGUUCUGGGGUCUGUCAUGACGAUACUGCUCCUUUUCCACUUCAAUGAGCAAUUGUUCCCAUUCUGUUAGCCACAGAAGCAGUUCUGACGCGGGGCGCGUGUCUUGAACUUUCACUACACAAAUACCGGGAUGGAUCCGUAGGUGAUGAUGGUCCGCAUGCAACUGCUCUUCAGGAUCUUCAUUCGCAAACGGAUGUGAAUAUAUGAUGGGGUCUGGUCUGCAAUUGGUGCAUGUUAUUUGUUCCGGUCGUAGCGGGAGUGUAGGGCUGCGUAGGAAUCUCUCUGGUGCUUGUCCCCGCGGUGCCUUUGGUUGAUACGCUCAUGGCUCGGUUCUCUGGGCCUUUAGUAAUCAACCAGAUCUGUCUAUGUGGAUUCACUGACGAAAAGAUAAAAGGUCGCAGACAUGAGAACCCUCAGAUGAAGGGAGCUAACAUUACUGUUGUUGCUGUCCCUUCUCCGUUGUGCUGAUCGUACUCUACUUCUCCAUGCACGUGUUUCGUGUCCAUAAGGUUUACAUCAA